GUCUACCAUAAAACGCUUUUGAAAGCUUUGCAGAGGCCUUGAAUGUAACCCUGAUCAAUCAAAAAUAGCAAGUGUAAUAUGACGCUUUUGAAAUCUUCAUAGAAAGAGCACGCUGGAUUGUAUUUCAAAAGUUGUGAAAUGUACACACAAAGGCCUGGAGUUGAUGGAAUAUUGCUCGAAAGGGAAACUUAACUAUUGGAUCUCUAUUUUCAUACAGUCUGUUGACUGCAAGACGGCUGCGGAAUGCGCCUCGAACGCAUGCCGCUGUCUAGCUAACUUCCACAGUCACCAUUGUCUGGAUGGAAAGUGCUCCUGCGGAUUCUUCGGUACUGGGAUUGGGCGUUAGCCAGUCAUUCGUGUCAUCUUUGUUGCACUGCGCAUUGAUGGAAUAAAUGAGUUUUGUCAA